AAUCUUUGUUUCAGCUAUCGGACGUUGUGACAGUUUCCACACAAGACCUUCUACCAACCAAUCCUUAGAUACUUGACUAAGUUGAUAAUCUUGCAGAACUAAGUUAUUUGAACGAGCCUUCAGUUCUUCACAAUCAUCGGUAUAGAUAAUUACAAGAUAAUAUAUAUAGAAUGGCAGGCCCUG